rnacentral:lncRNA from 1 species
GGGCUAGAAGUGGUGUGUUUCAGCAACCAUGAAUGCAAAAUGGCCGAGCGUCCGCCGGAGGGGGAAAAAACAUUCUCUUUAUUGGGCAGGACCCACAUCCAUCUAGUUAUCUUCCUGAUUAGACCUUAGAUCAAAUGCUGGUCCAUUGUCAUCAAGUCAUGUGCCACUUGGGUUCUAUGGAAGUUGUCAAUUAGAUCCAGAUGUGGUAACUUUUUGUUCAAUAGCAACCCUAUCC